AUAAAUAUUCGGUAAAUUUGUCGAAAGGCAAAGACACAAAGCUAUGGGUCUAAGGACGAAGAGUCUAUGAUUGCCAAGCCGUCAAC
rnacentral:ncRNA from 1 species